rnacentral:tRNA from 1 species
CCGUGUGUAGCUCAGUUGGUAGAGCCGACGUCUUAUACACGUCUGGUCCCAGGUUCGAGUCCUGGCACACGGACCA